rnacentral:rRNA from 1 species
GACGAACGCUGGCGGCGUGCUUAACACAUGCCAGUCGAGCGGAAAGGCCAUGCUCUUGUGGGGUGCUCGAGAGGCGAACGGGUGAGUAACACGUGAGUAACAUGCCCUUGACUUUGGGAUAACAUCAGGAAAAUGGGGCUAAAACCGGAGAGGAGCUCCUGCUGCAUGGUGGGGGUUGGAGAGAUUCGGCGGUGGGGGAUGGUAUAGAGGCUUACCAGCUGGUUGGGGGGGUAGUGGCUGACAAAGGCUUUGACGGGUAGCCGGCCUGGGAGGGGGGCCGGGCACAAUGCGACUGCGGGACGGCCCAGACUCCAACGGUCCGCAGCAGUGGGGAAUAUGACACAGUGGGCGGACGCCUGAUGUAACAACGUCGCGUUCGGGAUGACGGGUUUCUGGUUGUGAACCACUGUCGCCGUUGCUGUAGCCUGAUUGACGGUACUUGGUCAAGAAGCACCGGCUAACUACGUG